GAUGAAGAACGUAGCAAAAUGCGAUACUUGGUGUGAAUUGCAGAAUCCCGUGAACCAUCGAGUUUUUGAACGCAAGUUGCGCCCGAAGCCUUUUGGCCGAGGGCACGUCUGCCUGGGCGUCACGCAUCGCGUCGCCCCCCACAAUUCUCCGUAAAGGGAACGUGUGUUUUGGGGGCGGAUAUUGGUCUCCCGUGCUCAUGGCGUGGUUGGCCGAAAUAGGAGUCCUUUCGAUGGACGCACGAACUAGUGGUGGUCGUAAACACCCUCGUCUUUUGUUUCGUGCUGUUGCUCGCAAGGUAAACUCUUUAAAAACCCCAAUGUGUCGUCUCUUGACGACGCUUCGACCGCGACCCCAGGUCAGGCGGGACUACCCGCUGAGUUUAAGCAUAUCAAUAAGCGGAGGA
rnacentral:misc_RNA from 1 species